rnacentral:lncRNA from 1 species
UAAUCAUAUACAUGCUCUUAAAACACUUAGGAGAAAGAAAUAAUUCCACAUUUAGGAUAUGAGGAUAAGCUUAUCCUAAAACAAAAACCAUCAUAAGAAAAGCAGACUACAAACAAAUAUGUCUCAUGAAUGUAAAUGAAAAAAAUCAUUAACACGUUAGUAAACUGAACUAAAAAUAAAUACAGAGAAUAACACAUCAUGACUGAGGAUUAACCCAGGAAUUUCAAGUGGUUUAACAUCUGAAAAUCAAUCAAUGUAACUUAUCAUAUUAAUAAAGGAAAAAAUUCAUAUGAUCUUUUCAACAAUUGCUGAGAAAGAAUUCAGAAAAAUGCAACACUCAUUUAUUGAUAAAAAUAUUAAAGAAAGUAGGAAGAGCAGGGACCUUCCUUAACAUUAUAAAGGGCAUCUACAAAAAAUCUGCAGUUAACAUCAUACUUAAUGGUGAAAGACAAUACUUUUCACCCUAGGUCAGGAAUUGGGCAAGGAUUUGCAUGCUCACCACUUAUGGUCUCCAUUAUUCUGGAGGUCUUCUCCAGCACAAUCAUACAAAAAAACAAUCAAAGACAUACAAGGGAUGGAAGAAGUCAAACUGUCUUUAUUUAGAGAUGUCAUGAUUGUAUAUAUAGAAAAUCCCAAGGAAUCUACAAAAAAGCUAUUAGAAAGAUCUCAGGAUAAUAAUGUACAAAAAAAUCGUAAUACAUUGUGGUAGUUUUCAAAUUUCCACAAAUUCUUUGGCACCCUUCUCUUUAAAAGGUGGAUUCUAAUCGCCUUUCCUUGAAUGUGGGCUGGUCAUAACACCUUGCUUCUAAUUAAUAGAACCUGGUGGAAGUGAGCGUGUGUGACGUCUGAGGUGAGGUCACAAUAGGCAUUACUAUUUCUGCCUUGUUCUUUUGGAUGGCUUCGUCUGGAGCCAGGGGUCUUGCCAUGAAGGACAUUCAAGCAGUUCUGAGGAGAGGCCCAAGUGAAGAGGAACCAGUUGCCAGCACCACCCUGUCAGCUAUGUUAGGCCCCUGCCUAUAUAAACAAUUUGAUUAAAAACAUAUAUUUAAAAAUUCAUCAGUACAUGUGAGAUAUGAUGAUUUAUCAUUGAAGAUUUAGGAUGAUGGGCAGAGAAAGGCAAUCUGUUUUGUCUAUUGUCCAAUCAGUGCACGUGAAGAUUUGUUACAGUAUCCAGUUAACACUGAAUCACUAAGGUUUUAUCCAGGAAUAGUACUCAAAGUGCUCAGAUGUUCCUUUAAAUUCAUUUACCUGGGUAACUGCU